GUGAUGCCCGUCCCACCCUGACGGUGCUGCCCCCCUCCAGAGAAGAGCUGCUGCAGGGGAAGGCCACGCUCAUGUGCCUGGCCAACAAGGGCUACCCCUCCGACUGGAGUCUGGCCUGGAAGGUGGACGGCAGCAGCAGCAGCAGCUGGGAGGAGAGCAAGAGCCCCGGGGUGCUGGAGAAGGACGGCCACUACAGCUGGAGCAGCACCCUGAGGCUCCCUGCAGACCAGUGGAGCAAGGUGGGCUCUGUGACCUGUGAGGCCACCCAGGGCUCCCAGACUCCGCUCUCAGAGACAGUGAGGAGAGACCAGUGUUCCCAGUCCUGACCUGACUCACCGGGACUCUGCUACUGGUUUCACUCUGCUACUGCUCUCACUCUGCACUCUGUAACCAUCUCUG